rnacentral:rRNA from 1 species
AUUGAACGCUGGCGGCAUGCCUUACACAUGCAAGUCGAACGGCAGCACGGGAGCAAUCCUGGUGGCGAGCGGCGAACGGGUGAGUAAUGUAUCGGAACGUGCCCAGUCGUGGGGGAUAACGCAGCGAAAGCUGUGCUAAUACCGCAUACGAUCUAUGGAUGAAAGCGGGGGAUCGCAAGACCUCGCGCGAUUGGAGCGGCCGAUAUCAGAUUAGGUAGUUGGUGAGGUAAAGGCUCACCAAGCCGACGAUCUGUAGCUGGUCUGAGAGGACGACCAGCCACACUGGGACUGAGACACGGCCCAGACUCCUACGGGAGGCAGCAGUGGGGAAUUUUGGACAAUGGGCGCAAGCCUGAUCCAGCAAUGCCGCGUGCAGGACGAAGGCCUUCGGUUGU